GGCGUACGGGAAGGAAGAGUCCACCGUGCUAACGAUCUGUACUUCACGCUCAGGAGCAGAGGGCAGAAAGAGAGGCAAACAGAUCCUACCACGGCUGUCAGUUUCCAAGGAGUGACCAGGAGUGGGAAGGCGCGCAGAGUCCCACCAGCUGACAAAGCAGAGAGGGACAGUGUGCAGGAAGAUCUGAAACAAGGUCGGUGCCCUUGGGCUCCUGGCUCUGACUGGCCCACCAAGCCCCUGCCUUCUGGUGUGACACAGCUUUCCAAGGUCACGACUCCUCCUGCUUACCCUCCCCACGUUCCUCACGCUGCAUCCUCUUGCAAGGGCAAAAAUUAAAUACGGAGAUCCAAGUUUCUCA
ensembl:antisense Gm42538 predicted gene 42538